GAUGAACGCUGGCGGCGUGCCUAAUACAUGCAAGUCGAGCGAACAGACGAGGAGCUUGCUCCUCUGACGUUAGCGGCGGACGGGUGAGUAACACGUGGAUCACCUACCUAUAAGACUGGGAUAAAUUCGGGAAAACGGAGCUAAUAACGGAAAAUAUAUUGAACCGCAUGGUUCAAUAGUGAAAGACGGUUUUGCUGUCACUUAUAGAUGGAUCCGCGCCGCAUUAGCUAGUUGGUACGGUAACGGCUUACCAAGGCAACGAUGCGUGGCCGACCUGAGAGGGGGUUCGCCCACACUGGAACUUAGACACGGUCCAGACUCCUACGGGAGGCAGCAGUAGGGAAUCUUCCGCAAUGGGCGAAAGCCUGACGGAGCACCCCCGCGUGAGUGAUGAAGGUCUUCGGUUCGUAAAACUCUCUUAUGGGGGAAGAACAAAUGUGUAAGUAACUGUGCACGUCUUGACGGUACCUAGUCAGAAAGCCACGGCUAACUACGUG
rnacentral:rRNA from 1 species